CUAAUCGAUGGAAUGAAUAGGACUGCCAGCAAAAUUUAAGCCGGAGAAGCUCGCCGGAAAUCUCAUGAGCUCCGAACCUCGGUAGGAACUAAAACAACUGCUUCGAUAGUAUUUUACCAUUGGUCGAAUGCCAACAUGUUAAGCUUGCAGCGACAAAUGAGAAACGAAGAAAAUGAGGAGGAAUGAAUCAACACUGUUGGUUCGCCUGCAAGUCGGAAAUGACCUCCGUCAGUGAAUCUUGGAGGAGGAAGAUGGCCAUUUUUCGUUCAAGGUGUGUUCUUCUUG
rnacentral:lncRNA from 1 species